CCAGCUUCAGUGAGCACUGACGCUCGGAGCUGGCUUCUAUAAGCAGCAGUUCAUCCUCAGUAUGUUCAGCUUCAAAAAGGAACACUAACACGUCUGCCUGGAUGCUGCGCUCUGAUUGGACGGCCAAGAAAGGAGCACUCACAGUGUUUGGGAAAGGUGAUACAGCAUCUAUGAAGAGCAGGUGACAUCUAUGAAGAGCAGGGCUUCGGCAAGUCGGCUUCAGGGGUUCGGCGGAGCCUCCGCUGCAAAGGUCAAUAAACACCAGACUCAUCGUGUGUCACACCGCGGUGAGGAGAGUCUUGUCUUGGUUUUCUGUCUUGUGAUUUGCAUGUAUUAUUUUGAAAAGCAACUCCUCUUGUUUCAGAUCACGGGCCCUUCCUCUUGUGUCACCAGUCUGACGUCAUCCCUGACCCUUGAUUGUCUCCACCUGUAUCCCAUUACCCUCAUGUUCCAUAUAAGCCCAUCCCUCUCCUUGUUCUGUGCCAGAUUGUCUCGAUCCUUCGUGCCUGUCUUGCAUCCUAGUUCAUGUUCUUGUCUUGCAUCCUAGUUCAUGUUCUUGUCUUGCCUCGUCCCACGACCACGUUUGUUUACCCAGAGUUUUUCAAGCUGUCAUUUGGAGUUAACCUUUUCCUCCCUUAGAGCGACUUUUCUUAUUUAACCUUUUUCAACCGCAGUGGUGAGUUAUGAUUUUUCUUUAAUUAUUUCCUUCCUCAAAGUUUGAGUGAUUUUUGUUUAUAUAAAUGUUAGAAUAAUUGUGAGAGUAGUAAGUUUUGAUAGUCCUUUAUUUCUUCCUCCGUUUGGAGCGCUUUUUGUUCAAGUUUUUUAUAGCAGAUUCGUUGCUAGUUAUAUUUGUCUUAUUUUUGUCUAUUCGUCCGUUGGAGUGAUUUUUUGGUUCUUUCCCUUUUUUGGAAAAGUUUUUUGAUAUCAUAGAACCUCAUAGUGAUAAUACCACCUUAACAUUUGACAACCAAACAAUUACACAAUUACGCAAGGCGACUCGGUAAAGAAUCUGGGUAUUAUCUUCCACCCAACUCUCUCGUUUGAGUCACACAUUAAGAGUGUUACUAAAACAACUCUCUCCUUUGAGUCGCACAUUAAGAGUGUUACUAAAACAACUCUCUCCUUUGAGUCACACAUUAAGAGUGUUACUAAAACAACUCUCUCGUUUGAGUCACACAUUAAGAGUGUUACUAAAACAACUCUCUCCUUUGAGUCACACAUUAAGAGUGUUACUAAAACAACUCUCUCCUUUGAGUCACACAUUAAGAGUGUUACUAAAACGGCCUUCUUUCAUCUCCGUAAUAUCGCUAAAAUUCGUUCCAUCUUGUCCACUAGCGACGCUGAGAUCAUUAUUCAUGCGUUCGUUACGUCUCGUCUCGAUUACUGUAACGUAUUAUUUUGGGGUCUCCCUAUGUCUAGCAUUAAAAGAUUACAGUUGGUACAAAAUGCGGCUGCAAGGCUUUUGACAAAAACAAGAAAGUUUGAUCAUAUUACGCCUAUACUGUAUAUACCUUUAUAUACAUAUAUACAUACAUAUAUAUACCUAUACUGGCUCACCUGCACUGGCUUCCUGUGCACUUAAGAUGCGACUUUAAGGUUUUACUACUUACGUAUAAAAUAUUACACGGUUUAGCUCCAGCCUAUCUCGCCGAUUGUAUUGUACCAUAUGUCCCGACAAGAAAUCUGCCUUCAAAGAACUCCGGCUUAUUAGUGAUUCCCAGAGCCAAAAAAAAGUCUGCGGGCUAUAGAGCGUUUUCUAUUCGGGCUCCAGUACUCUGGAAUGCCCUCCCGGUAACAGUUAGAGAUGCUACCUCAGUAGAAGCAUUUAAGUCCCAUCUUAAAACUCAUUUGUAUAAUCUAGCCUUUAAAUAGACCCCCCCUUUUUUAGACCAGUUGAUCUGCCGUUUCUUUUCUUCUCUCCUCUUCUCCCCUGUCCCUUGCGAGGGGGAGUUGCAUAGGUCCGGUGGCCAUGGAUGAAGUGCUGGCUGUCCAGAGCCGGGACCCCGGGUGGACCACUAGCCUGUGCAUCGGUUGGGGACAUCUCUGCGCUGCUGACCCGUCUCCGCUCGGGAUGGUUUCCUGUUGGCCCCGCUGUGGACUGGACUCCCGCUGAUGUGUUGGAUCCACUGUGGACUGGACUUUCACAAUGUUAUGUCAGACCCACUCGACAUCCGUUGCUUUCGGUCUCCCCCUAAAGGGGGGGGGGGGGGGUUACCCACAUAUGCGGUCCUCUCCAAGGUUUCUCAUAGUCAUUCACCGACGUCCCACUGGGGUGAGUUUUUCCUUGCCUGUAUGUGGGCUCUGUACCGAGGAUGUCGUUGUGGCUUGUACAGCCCUUUGAGACACUUGUGAUUUAGGGCUAUAUAAAUAAACAUUGAUUGAUUGAUUGAUUGUAUGUUUUCUGCUCUGGAGGUUAAGCGUUAUUUUCAAA